rnacentral:lncRNA from 1 species
ACACUUUCUCCUGGCUGUGAGGAGUCCCAUGGUCACCAAUCCAAGAACAUGAUGUUCUCCUUUUACAAAAGUCUCAGUUACAGGCAAUUUCAUUUGUGGAUUAGGUUUUGAAACAUCAAGAUGUUGAAAGAAAUUUCUACUCUUGUGUGACUUCACCAACAUACAGUGAGUGCUGACCCCUCGACAGAAGGAAUUCUAUAUCCUACCCCCAAAGAGAACAGAGACUAUAAAGAAUUGACAUGGAGGCCAUUAUAUGUCAGACCAGAAGAGAAUUACAUCAUUAUACUCACAUCCCAUUGGCCAGUUCUCAUGCACAUCAUCAUGCAUCUCAUCUACCUGGAUGCAAGAGCAGGUGCAUCAGCAGAGGAGGAAACCUCGUCUCACGUGGCUCGGCAUCCUGCCGGCAGUUGCCAACUCACAGCCGGCUCCACCUGGAUCCGGGGCUCUCGUCCCCUCCCGCAGCCACGAGGACGCUGCGGCCCCACGCGGACGGCGCGGCUCCUGCCGGGGGCCCAGCGCCCGGCCCAGCCGACCGUCCCCGAGGCCGCCCCCACCGCCGCCCCGCGGGCCCUCGCCCACCCGGCCGGGUUCACCCGCCGCUCCCACUCGCGCGGCGCCAGCCUCCCGAGCGCCCCGGCAUUUCCUCGGCGGGGAGCGCGAACCCGAGGCAGACGCGCGGAGAACGAAGUACGCAUGUGCGCCGCGAGCCUCGGAGCCCCUCAAGACCCUGGGCGGACCCCGCGCCGGGCGGGCGACCGAGCCUGGGACUACGUUUCCCAUAAGCCCUGGCGCCACGCCCGGUUUGAGGAGUUUCCCCUGAAGGGCAGAGGUCGCUCCCAGGGUUUCUCCCAGGGCCUUGUGGGGCCUGGUCGUUUCCGGACCGCGGGGCGCUGCCAAAUGAUGCAGUGUGACGCGAGGCUGUCGAAGGCAUCCGUGUAA